rnacentral:lncRNA from 1 species
CUGUGAUGGAGGCAUUAAACUUACAUACAUUUCAAAGUUUAACUAUGAAACUAAGCUAAGCCAAGUGCAGAAUUCUGUUUUUCUGUCUGGCCUUGUUUUUUAAAUGACUAGAGAGAAGAGGAAAUAUUUCCUAUGAACUAAAAAUCAGCAAUGCCCAAAGUUGAACAACACUACCGAAAUGACCAAAAGCAGCCAGACUUACAGCUUCAUUCUGAUGACUCCCAUCGUUAAGCUGAACAUCUAUGCAGGAAGAAGCAAGUACUUUAUAGAACAGGUACUGUUGGUGCUAUACCCAUAGUUACUCAUAUUCAGGAAAAGCAAGUAAAUGGUAAGGAAAUGGCUCUGGAACCAUUUGAAAUUAUCUCAUCAUACUUAUUUACUUCCUUUUUCUGAGAUUUUGGUCUCAGGCUUUACCUGGAGACAGGAUUUUAUGAAUCUCUGUCCAAAGAACUUCUAUGUUAUCCUUCCAAGAGACCCAGAAGGGUCACAUUUUGGUAGUAUCUUAACUAUUCCAGAGUAUAGGCUUUUACAGAACUGACCUUAAAACGUUUAAAAAGAAAUCAUGAAAAAAAAAAAAAAGAAAGAAACUGUUGCUGAAAGCUCAGUCCCUGUUCCUGACGCCAAUCCAAUAAUGAAGACAAGGUUUUGAGAAAAAAGUAAAAGAUUUAUUGCUUUGCUAGCAAAGGAAAAACACAGGGAACUCCUGUCCCAAAGACUGUGAUUUUGCCCAUCAUCAGGAAUAGGGGGCUUUUAAAGAGGUGAUUCAAAUGAUACCUACAUUCCACAUGUUCACUUGUUAAUUUGUGAGAUAGUCAUGUCUGAGGUCUUCUGGUACUAUCCCCAAAGUCUGGAUUACUUCCUUCCCAAGGUGAGGAUGUACUCAGGGACAGAUAACUCUGCCUAGGAUGGGGGAGAAAGGUAAUCCUGUUUACCCUGUGAUUAGGGAGGGGGAGAGAUUAGGAAGGAACCCAGCAAGAGGAAAAGAAAGAAACUCGUCCAUUUUAAAAAAUAAGUGGCAGAGCAGCAAGAGUUACAUUCAAAGCAUAAAGUGGACCCCUCUUACAAAACCAUGCAAAGAGUCAAACCAAUCUGAUUUUCCAGUAAUAAAUGUCCCAGAACAAAGCUGCACUUCAAGGAAGGAUAGCAAAGUUUAGAUACUCACAAAAACUCAAUGUUUUGCAGCCAAUAAAAAAUUAUUAGACAUUCCAAGAAAUAUGAAAAUGUAACAUAUAAAGAGGAGAAGAAAACAGUCAAUAGAAAAUAAUCUAUCAAUGGCAGAGAUGAUAGAAUUAUUAUACAAAACUUUUAAAUAGCUCUUAUAACAGUGGUCCACUUUAUUCUUUGAAUAUAGCCCUUGCUGCUCUGCCUCUGCAGUUUACUUUUUAAACAGACAUUUUCUUUCUCUUCCUUUCUCCCUAUUCCCUACUAAUCUCUCCCCCUCCCUAAUCCAGGGGAAAUAGGGUUACCUUUCUUUCCCAUUUUAGGCAGAUUUAUCUGUCUUUGAGCGUACAUACUCACACUAUAGGAGUGAAGUAAAACAGACUUUGGGUUGGUAUCAGAAGUUCUCAGAAAUGACUGUCUCCCAAAUUAACAAGUGAAAUAUAACUCCAACAUAGAACAGAGGAAUGUAGCCUUUGAACCACCUCUUUAACAGUUCCCUGUUCCUGCUGAUGGGCAAAAUCACAGCAUCUGGGACAGGAGUUCCCUGUGCUCCUUUGCUAGCCAAGCAAUACAUUUUUUUCUUCCUUUUUCUCAAAAUCGUAUCCUUGUUAUUGGAUUGGCAUCAGGUACAAGGACUGAGCUUUCAGCAGUACUCUUACAAAUAUGCUCAAUGUGUUCAAGGAUCUUUAAACAAUAUGAGUAUAAUUGUAAGCAAAAAUAACCAAAAUGGGAGCAGACCUCAAUGGAUCACCAAGUAGACUUUAUGAAGCAGGGGUGGAAUGGCACAUUUUUAGGGGAGAAAAUGGCAACUGGUUAUAAGGGGUCUGUUUUUCAUAGAUUUUAAUGAGAGUUAAACAUGGCAGAAUAUUUAGUGUGUUAAUCAUUAGAGACUUGGGCAGUCAGGUAACUAGUUAUGCAGGGUUCAAAGUCUAAAUCUGGAAAGCAGAUGCAAAAAGCUUGAAACCCACUUAUCAGAGAAAACAUAUGACCUUUGGUUUUACAACCAGAGAAAUAAAAUAUUGUGCUCCAUUUAUGUACAAUGAGUCAAAAUGCAUUCUGCUGUUAUGUAUAACUAAUUAGAACAACAACAACCAAAAAAAGCUUGAAUCCAUUGUUACUGGGAGGAAAGUCCAGAGCCCAGAGCCCAUUGUUUGCCUUCUCCACCCAGGAUCCAUUCUUUCUCCCUGGGGGUUGUUAUUUCAUAUCCUUCAAUAAUAAUCAGUAGAGAUAUUGAAGAGAUACAAAGAAUGAAACAGAACUUUUAGAAGUGAAGGAAAAAACAGUAUCUGAAAUGAAAAAUACACUGGAUAGAAUUAACUGCAUCUUAAAAAUGGAAAAAUAAAAGAUGAGUGAACUUGUAGCAACAGAAAUGUUUCAAACUGAAACACUGAAAAAGAAUAAAUGGGGCCUCAGUAACUUGUAGGUAAUAUUCAGUGGUUUAUUAUAUGUAUAAUUGGAGCCCCAGAAAAAUAUUGGGGUGCGGGGCAAUGUGAGUGGACAAGAGAUACAGAAAUAUUUAAGAAAUAAUGGCUGAAAUUUUUCAAAUAUGAUCAAAACUAUGAACCACAGAUGCAAGAGCCUUAAUGAACCCCAAGUAGGAGAAACAUAUACAUUGAAGAACAUCAAAACCAAAUUGCUGAAAACAGAGAUAAAGAGAUAAUCUUAAAAAUCAGCCAGUGAAAAGGGGCAUAUGAUGUACAGCAGAACCAAAUAAGAAUGAGAGCAGAGCUGUUUCCAGUGACAGUGAAAGUCCCAAGACAGUGGUACAACAUGUUCACAUUUCAAAAUGAAAAAAUAUAUUAUCAACAUAGGGUUCUAUACCAGCAAAAAUCCCCUUUAAAAAUCUCACCUUAGGAUGAAAUAAAGAUUUCUAAGACAAACAUAAGCUGCAGGUAAUAUGAAAGUGUUUGUUUUAUAAGAGAUAGGGUCUUGCUUUGUUGCCCACAGUAGCCUCGAACUCGAGAUCUUCCUGUCUCAACCUCCAAGUACCUGGGACUAUAGGUGUGUACCACUGUGAAUUAUGUAAAAGUAUUUUAUGGUUAUUUAAAAUUUUAUUUUAAAAGUACUUAGGGAAAGUAAAAAUAUCAAUGAAUUUGAAGUUCAAAGAAAGUGUACAGAAAUAAAGUGUGUGCAUGGAAAUGGAAGGAGACCCUCAUUGUUAUACAAAAUUACAUAUAAGAGGUUGUGAGGGGAAUGGGAAAAAAAAAAC